GAUGAACGCUGGCGGCGUGCCUAAUACAUGCAAGUCGAGCGAAGCGGGGACGGUUGAGUAACACGUCGAUACCCUCCUUUAAUACUGGGAUAACUUCGUGUAACCGGUGCUAAACCGGCUACUUAUCUAUGGUUCCGCGCGGCAUUAGCUAGUUGGUAAGGUACCGGCUUACCAAGGCAACGAUGCAUAGCCGACCUGAGAGGGUGAUCGGCCACACUGGAACUGAGACACGGUCCAGACUCCUACGGGAGGCAGCAGUAGGGAAUAUUCCGCAAUGGGCGAAAGCCUGACGGAGCAACGCCGCGUGAGUGAAGAAGGUCUUCGGAUCGUAAAACUCUGUUAUUAGGGAAGCGGUACCUAAUCAGAAAGCCACGGCUAACUACGUGCCAGCAGCCGCGGUAAUUC
rnacentral:rRNA from 1 species